rnacentral:rRNA from 1 species
AUUGAACGCUGGCGGCAUGCCUUACACAUGCAAGUCGAACGGUAACGGGCCUUCGGGUGCCGACGAGUGGCGAACGGGUGAGUAAUACAUCGGAACGUGCCCGAUCGUGGGGGAUAACGAGGCGAAAGCUUUGCUAAUACCGCAUACGAUCUACGGAUGAAAGCAGGGGACCGCAAGGCCUUGCGCGGACGGAGCGGCCGAUGGCAGAUUAGGUAGUUGGUGGGAUAAAAGCUUACCAAGCCGACGAUCUGUAGCUGGUCUGAGAGGAUGAUCAGCCACACUGGGACUGAGACACGGCCCAGACUCCUACGGGAGGCAGCAGUGGGGAAUUUUGGACAAAGGGCGCAAGCCUGAUCCAGCCAUGCCGCGUGCAGGAUGAAGGCCUUCGGGUUGUAAACUACUUUUGUACGGAACGAAAAGCCUUCUUUUAAUACAGGAGGGUCAUGACGGUACCGUAAGAAUAAGCACCGGCUAACUACGUG